rnacentral:misc_RNA from 1 species
GAUGAAGAACGUAGCGAAAUGCGAUACUUGGUGUGAAUUGCAGAAUCCCGUGAACCAUCGAGUCUUUGAACGCAAGUUGCGCCCGAAGCCACUAGGCCGAGGGCACGCCUGCCUGGGCGUCACACGUCGUUGCCCCCCCCCCCAUCUACUCCUUCGGGAUUGCGGGGGGCGGAUGAUGGCCUCCCGUGCGCCUAGCCGCGCGGUUGGCAUAAAUACCAAGUCCUCGGCGACGCACGCCACGACAAUCGGUGGUUGCGAAACCUCGGUUGCCCGUCGUGUGCGUUCGUCGCGCAUCGAGGGCUAGAAAAAAUGCUCGGCUCCGGCUCGGCUUUCAACGCGACCCCAGGUCAGGCGGGGUUACCCGCUGAAUUUAAGCAUAUCAAUAAGCGGAGGA